rnacentral:lncRNA from 1 species
CCAUUAGAUCCAACAUACAAGAUCAAAAAAGUUUAAAAAUCAUUACCAAACUGAAGUCUCUUGAUCUCUUCAGGUCUAGCACUUGGAGAGGCUCUCCUUCAAAUUGCUCACAAUCACACAAAGUCAUUCGACCUCUAUAAAAAGUCCACACGAAGAUCGGUGCAGAUCAGGGUCCUUGGAAGUGCUAGCUUGCAAGGAACUCAGAGGUUGAUUUCUUCCUUCUUCUUCAAAUACCUUGGACACUCCAAAGUAAGAGAAUAUCUA